UACGUAGGGUGCAGGCGUUAAUCGGAAUUACUGGGCGUAAAGCGUGCGCAGGCGGCGCGUUAAGACAGGUGUGAAAGCCCCGAGCUUAACUUGGGAAUUGCGCUUGUGACUGGCGUGCUGGAGUGUGGCAGAGGGGGGGUAGAAUUCCACGUGUAGCAGUGAAAUGCGUAGAGAUGUGGAGGAACACCGAUGGCGAAGGCAGCCCCCCUGGGUCAAGAUUGACGCUCAUGCACGAAAGCGUGGGGAGCAAACAGG
rnacentral:rRNA from 1 species